GUCAAGGCGCCGGUGUAGCUACACAGAAACAGGCACACAUCAUGCUUGCAUUUCUUACGAAAAGAGGAAUUACUAGCACCGAAUUCAAGCAUAAGGAUCCUCCUAUCUGUUGCUGUGGUGAUUGUACUAUGAUUUUAUCUAUGAGGAGAUGCAAUCUCUUCAGUCCGAUAGACCCUGGAUAAUCUCACUCAUCCCAUAAACUAUCUGCAGCAUUCUUGAAAAGGGUAUUUCCUUUGUUACAAGACAUUGCAGAGCUUAUAUCGGUAAGUGUAACAUGUGAUGUUGUUUUUUGAGAUGUUGUAAUAUUUGUGCCCAUGAAUGCUUCAGUUUUUCGGAUUUUUUGAUCCCAAGCCCUCUGUGACGUAACCGUAAAUGCAAGUGUCACAUUUUAUUAAAGUAAUUUUAUUAAAGCAUGCUUCACAGAAAUAAACAGGAAAAUAACAAUAUUGAGCUUAAUUUAGUUCACUUCAGUUCAAUAGCUGUCAGUGUCAGUGUUGGGGGUAACGCAUUACAAGUAACUUGAGUUACGUAAUCAGAUUACUUCUUAGUAACUAGUAAAGUAACGCAUUUUUCAGUUUACAACAAAAUAUCUAAGUUACUUUUUCAAAUAAGUAACGCAAGUUACUUUUUCACAUGGACUGACAGCUCUCCUGUCCCCAUAUUGAGAGAAAUCUGGAUUGCAGAGGUAGUUCUAGACUAAAUGUGAACAUGCAUUUACUCAUCUCACUUGCACAAAAACAUUCAGUAUUCCUCAAAAUGGAUAAAAACAGUGAAAUGCAAUCUCAGAAUUUUACGCAAACCUGUUAUAAUUAACUAUAUUAAAUUACACAAAUACACUUUAUGUAUUUAAUCUCACUUUAUUAACCAAUGUCUUUGCUGCUGACCUUCAAAUAAGAGUGUUGAACUUCCUUCUCCUGUAUCCUAUUCUUCUUUAAUCCAGAAUGGCGGCACAGCUGAAAGGUUUGUUUGAGCUGCACCCUCUACUGUACAGGUGCAAAUAUGCAUUUCCUUCAGCCUGACGCUUAUUCAUUUCACUUUUGGUGUGAAAGGGCUUUUACAUCUGCCAAAAAUAUAAAUUUUUUGUUGUUAUUAAAAAACAAACAAGCAAGCCCAGCCAAGGUCAGUGUUGCAAAAAGUUCAUCAAUUAUGAAACAAAUAAAAUUUCAGCAGUAAACCGGCAGCAGCUCUACAGAAGGAAAUUGUGUCAUUAUUCAGCUUAAUUUAGUUCAAUAACUGUCAAUGUUUCAAAGUUCAUCAGUGAUGAAACAAACUCAUUUCAGCUGAAGACAAGUGUAAUUUUUCAGCUCAUUAUUCUUUCUUUCUUUCUUUCUUUCUUUCAUUUACAUUUAUUGAUUUAGCAGACACUUUUAUCCAAAGCGACUUGCAAACAAGGAAUACAACAAGCAAUUUAUAAUUAAGUACAAAGAAGUUGUCAUUUUCUUGGAUGUCUUGACUCUUUAUUGAAGUUCAUCUCAUCUGCUAUACUGUAUGCAAACAGGGAGUUAUUGAAUGUUAUUCAGUCAAAUUACCUCUUUGAGACCUCUAACCUUUCGAUGGCCUUGGCUAUUAACUAAUACAUCACAAAGAGCUCCACUAAAUAUAAUUAAUCAAUGGGUAUAAGAGGCUGUGUUACAUGGCACGUUUCUCACUCUCAAAUCUAUCUUUAUAUUAUUUUAUUAUGCAAAUUCAUUAAGUUCUGCACUUCUAAAGAUUUAUUCAACUAAAGUGAGUACGUUGAGUGCUGUGUGUAGUGUGUGUUCGUGUCAGCUGUUACUAUUUUGUGUAUUUUAGCAUGGCUAGAAGAAUGCUGCGUCUUGUGCCGGAAACUCCCUGGAUGGAUGGCCGGUCCAUCACAGUCUUACUUUAAUUAUGUACAAAGAGCAGAGCACUGCAGGACACAAGUAUAUACAAAUGCCAUGUGAAAUCUGGUUGCUUUUUGGCAUGGUCUUCAGGUCUCCAGUGAGGAAUUCCCCAUUAUUUGGCUGUUAUAAAACAGAUGAUGCAUGGAUUGAGGAAUCAGCUCUGCUGGACUCUGUCUCAGUCGUACACCUCCAGAGUUCUCACAAAGUGGAGUUCAUACAUUUUCAGACAAGCACUCCAGAUGUCCAUGGGUGAAGAGGAGACUGGAGCGUUACAGCUGCAUGCAUUCAGACGACAAAUACAGUCAGUCACAAAUGAUCCAUACUCCAAUCCAGAAGGGGGCGCUUGUGGUAUUGCAACGCUGUUUGCUAACCGCCACAACAGGAAAAAGCGCAGAAGAAAAAGAACAGAUGAUCUAUGCAUAGAUAUGUUUACGUGUAAUAUCUAAUUUUUUGUAACUGCGGAAAGAAAUCAAUAAACAGCUUAAGAGUAA